UCCAGACUCCUACGGGAGGCAGCAGUGGGGAAUAUUGCACAAUGGGGGAAACCCUGAUGCAGCGACGCCGCGUGAGCGAAGAAGUAUUUCGGUAUGUAAAGCUCUAUCAGCAGGGAAGAAAAAAAUGACGGUACCUGAGUAAGAAGCACCGGCUAAAUACGUGCCAGCAGCCGCGGUAAUACGUAGGGGGCGAGCGUUAUCCGGAUUCACUGGGUGUAAAGGGAGCGUAGACGGCCAUGCAAGCCAGGGGUGAAAGCCCGGGGCCCAACCCCGGGACUGCCCUUGGAACUGCAUGGCUGGAGUGCGGGAGGGGCAGGCGGAAUUCCUGGUGUAGCGGUGAAAUGCGUAGAUAUCAGGAGGAACACCGGUGGCGAAGGCGGCCUGCUGGACUGCAACUGACGUUGAGGCCCGAAAGCGUGGGGAGCAAACAGGAUUAGAUACCCGAGUA
rnacentral:rRNA from 1 species